GGUGGGAUGCCUGAGCGGUUUAAAGGGCCGGUCUUGAAAACCGGUGUCCCGAUUGAUCGGGACCGUGAGUUCGAAUCUCACUCCCACCG
rnacentral:tRNA from 1 species